AUUGAACGCUGGCGGCAUGCUUUACACAUGCAAGUCGGACGAGUGGCGAACGGGUGAGUAAUAUAUUGGAACGUACCGAGUAAUGGGGGAUAACCACUCGAAAGAUUGGCUAAUACCGCAUAUUAUUCGAGCGGCCCAUAUGGGAUUAGCUAGUUGGUGGGGUAAAGGCCUACCAAGGCGACGAUCUGUAGCGGGUCUGAGAGGAUGAUCGGCCACACGGGGACUGAGACACGGCCCGGACUCCUACGGGAGGCAGCAGUGGGGAAUUUUGGGCAAUGGGCGCAAGCCUGAUCCAGCCAGGCCGCGUGACUGAAGAAGGCCUUCGGGUUGUAAAGGACUUUUGUUAGGGAAGCGGUAACGAAAGAAGAAGCACCGGCUAACUCCGUGCCAGCAGCCGCGGUAAUAC
rnacentral:rRNA from 1 species